AGCCGACUUGUCCCCUAAAAGUAGUAUAACAGAAUUGAUAUCUCUGAGAAGAUGGGUUACUUGACCCUAUAUAUAUAUAAAGAGGUUGGUUCAACGAACAGAGGGAUUUCAAGCUUGGGAGGUGUCAUCCUACUUUCUUCACAAUUCGAGGAUUUUUCCCUCCUCACACACCAACUUUCCACUAAUUUGCAAUUCCCCUAUGAUACGAAUAUAGAAAAUUUUCGAAAAUGCAUUGUUAGAUUCUAAAU